CUUGGUCAUUUAGAGGAAGUAAAAGUCGUAACAAGGUUUCCGUAGGUGAACCUGCGGAAGGAUCAUUACAAAUCCAAAACAAUGACUCGUUGAAAUGUUCUCGGCCUUGGGGUAUGGCAUCCACUUUAUCCAUCACCGCCUCAAAGACGGAGGUGUCGUGGACGCGCCACACCAAAGAGAAAAGAGAUGAUGCUGGCAUAAUACUUGCAUCGCUUCUCUAACCACCUCUGAAACCAAGGUUCGCACAAUGACGCUUUAUAUUGACAUUUACAUAUCAGUGAUAACAAAAACAACUUUUAACAAUGGAUCUCUAGGCUCUUGCAACGAUGAAGAACGCAGCAAAAUGCGAAAUGUCGUGUGACAUGCAUUCCUCGUGAAUCAUCAAAUCUUUGAACGCACCUUGCACCUUUUGACUUUGUCAAUAGGUAUACUUGUUUGAGUAUCGUAUACACAAUCUCUCGCGAACUGUGUGUUUGUGAGAGGACAUGAGGGUCUGGAGGUGGUGACGCAUCGCAUAUCGCGUGCGUCGGUACUGAUUUUAGUCCCUUUAAAUGCAUGCCUGCUGUAAAGGCUCUGGUACACGGUCGAACGACAACAACAACGAUCGCACCCUCGCAUGACGCGGCGGCGGUCCGUUGUUCGACGGUCCAAUGGGAUAAUAUCCACAUAUCGUUGGUCUUGCCAGAGACGCUAAAUCAUCAUCGUGUUGUUGUCAUCCAUGGAUGGAUGAUCUCUUUACGAGCGCCCGCAUGUUGGGCGCAAGCAAGCAAAAGACCAAGACAUCAUCAUCAUCACACGUGGGAAGGGCUUUACACAAGCGCCUGCGGGAGGUGGGGAUGGCUUAAAUAAGGCCUUAGAUGGCUCACACUUACCGAUCUCAAAUCAAGUAGGACUACCCGCUGAACUUAAGCAUAUCAAUAAGCGGAGGA
rnacentral:rRNA from 1 species